UACAUGUAAAUGGGUGAGUUUAUAAUUUGGAGAUAAAUUUUUGAAGAAAAUGUGUUCUGGUGUUUAUUUCUCUAGGUGCACCAGGUUCAGGCUCUAGAGAUUUCUCUAUGGCUGCUGGUUCUUACCAUUCAAAUAAAGCACUUAAUCCAGGUUCAGUUAGACAAUGUCAAAAAAUUAUUGUUACCGUUUGUGCUUUCAGUUUCAGAUUCACUGGAGUGGAGCUUGGAAGAUUAGCUGUUACGGAUGAAAAAAAGCAUGAACGUUGGCCAACGGCUCUGAGGGAUUUCUCUAUGAAGAUUGGCUGUUACGGGUGAGAAAAAGCAGGAACGUUGGCCGGCUUUGAGGGAUUUCUCUAUGAAGAUUGGCUCUUACAAUGAGAAAAAGCAGGAACGUUGGCCAACGGCUCUCAAAGAAAUGUCUUGAAACAACAAUGUUACCGUUGAUGCACCUCUUAUAUAAUAGGAUAAACUGUUCGUUUAAUUUAUCUGUGGCUCUGUGUUUGCUGCAAACCCCAUGCCCACCUGGAGACGCCCUAUGUUUCCAGUGGAGUAUAGUUGGAGAGUUUGUAAUGGCUCUAGGGAUUUCUCACCUGGUGUGCGUUUGGCCGAGAGAAGCCCUAUUUGUCUGAGAGAGUGAUGGUUUUGGGUGUUGGGUGUUGGAAGAAUUCUGGGUUUGAGGAAUUAUAUGGUUUUCAACUUGUGUUCAUUGUGUGGGUCAAUAUAUUCCAUAAGGAUUCUACGGAAAGUGCAUUAUGGAUAUUUAGAGUUUGGAAAAUUGUUUUGGUUUGCAGACGGACAAGGCAAGUGCUGGUGCAAUUUUAGUAGGUGAUACUGCUGUUAAGUGAAUAUGAAUGUGCAAGGUAUACUUAGAGACAAACCACUGUUACCUAUCGAUGUGAUUCUUGGAAAUAUUUUUCCUCUUUCCAUUGAAAUCUUCAUAUAGUGCAUUGCUUGUGAGCCACUUCUUAGAUUUGCGGCCAAUGCAUUGGAUGCUGCAUUGGUGUCUCAAGGCACUUCGCUCUUUUUAUCAUAGGGAACAAUCCACCCUCUCAUUCCAAAUCCUCUGCAAUUUUGCGCUGGGAAUUCAACAAACUGCUUCACAAAAUUAACCUUUAUCGUGUCUAGGAGGACAAUUGGAUCAUCUUAUGCUUGGCCUUUGACUUUCCAUGAGAUGACCAGAGGUAGACUUUCGAAAUCCUAUAGAAGAGCUGACAUAUCACAUGAAACCAUUUUAAUUCAGAAGAAGCUUCCAACUUUUGUAUAUGCUUCUUGGUGCAUAUACUCGUUGUGAUUACAGCUGUGGUAUGCACAGGAAAAGACACUAUCAGAGAGGACGGCAUGGGCUCUGGCCAUGGACAGAGGCGUAAAUAUGGUGACAAUUGUUUAUGAUUGUUUUAAUUUAUUUGAUUCAAUGAGUUUUUCCGCUGGCCGCAUCAGCUGUUUUUACCUGUUUGACUAAAUUUUUUCUAUUGAGGGAAACCUUUUAGCUGAUAGAUUUGGUGGUUGAAUCUAUUAUCAAUUGUUUUGUUGGGUUUUAAGAUUGAUGCAUCAGUGGUAACGUGGCAGCAUCUUUGAUUGAAAUUGAAAAUUAGCGCUUCUUUGAUUGAAUUUGAUAAGUAGCACAUCUUUGAUUUAAGUUUUCUGUGAAAGGAGAAAAUGGUUUUUAUUUAUUUUUUAAUAAAUCAUGAUUCAGUAAUUAUUCUUGUGAUUUCACGAGAGGAGCCACAAACUGAUCAAAUAUGCAAAUCUACUUCAAAAAUAUUUUGAUCAGCUUACAACAUUGAAAACAUGAGAUGUCGAUAAUAUCUAGAUCUGGUUCAACAUUUGAUGUGCCAGAGGCAAUUGACAUUCUCUAAUAGUGAUACUAUCGAUUACUAUAGACAUAAAUGUCUUUGGCAUAUUUGUAGAGUAUCUCAAUAUUUAUCGCAGUCAAUGCAAAAUUAAUUUUAAUUUUAUAGUUGCACUUUUGAAUCAAAUCAAUCAACUAAUUUGUAAAUUGAUAUGUGAAUGGAUUAUGUUGUUUAAUAUAAAUUUUUAUUUGGGAGAGGUUGAAUCUGCCCCCUCCUUUAGGUUGGAAGGAAUGGUCAUUGGUCAUUGGUCAUUGGUCAUUGGUCAUUGGUCAUUCUUUUCAGUCUUAUGUCUCUCUCCGUUGAUUUUUAAAUUUUUAUAUUGUAGAAAAUUCAAAUCAAUUUUUUAUUUAUUUUAAUUUUACUUCUUCACAUUUAAUGAUUUGAAAAUUUUGAUGUAGCAUAUUUAUUUAAUGUGUUCGUACUUUAGUAUGUUUGAACAAAGUGUGUAUUCAAAUGUGCUUCUGGAUUCAGCUGUGUAGAUGUUUUUCCAUCAACGUUUCGAAUCACACUCCGUGAUUCAUCAUCAGGGUGAGAGAGCUGCAGGAGAAUGUGCUUCUGGAUUCAGCUGUAUAGAUGUUUUUCCAUCAACGUUGCGAAUCACACUCCGUGAUUCAUCAUCGGGAUGAGAGAGCACAGCUGAUGGAAAACCAUCUACACAGCUGAAUCCAGAAGCACAUUUGAAUAUAGCAUGGACUGUGGAAAUCUCAUCUCUCAAAGUGUGUAUGUUUAAAUUUUAGCAUUUGCUUUGUAUAUGUGUGAAUUGUGGGUUUUAACUAUGGCAACUGUAUUUUAUUUUUGUACUUUGACAUGUGUUUGUAUGUUUGAACUUUCACAUUUACUUUGUGUGAAGAGUGUGCUAACUUUGACAAUCACUUAUGUUCUAUGUUUGAACAUUAGUGUGAAAUGUGUUUGAACUUGGGGAUUCACUUUGUAUGUGUUUAGGAUUUACUUUGUGUGCAUAUGAACUAUCAUGGGUACCUUGUAUGGUGUGUUUAACUUUUUCAAAUUUGAAUAAACCUCAUGUAUUGUUUUUCCAUGUGUGCUUUGUGUGGUGUUUGUAUUUUAACUAACUUUUGCAUUCACUUUGUGUGAUGUGUAUAGUGUAUGUUUAACUUUGUCAUAUUUGAAUAAACUUCAUUUAUUGUUUUUCCAUGUGUGUUUUGUGUGAUUGUAUGUUGUGUGUUUUAAGUUUGUCAUGUUUGAGAAAAUUUUAUGUGCAACAUGUUUUAUAACUUUGGCUUUUUAUUUAUGUGCGUUGCUGUACAUUGUGUGAAGUGUGGUUGUAAUUAACUUUUUAUUUAUUUGUUUGUGUAUGUGCAUGUCUGAAAGCUUAUUUUGGUAUUUACUUUGUGUGGUGUUUGUUUGAACUAAAUUUGACAUUCAUUGUAAGUGUGCAUGUUGGAAAGAACUUUGACAUUCAUUUUUUCUAUUGUCUUGUGUGGAGUGUAUGAAAGAACUUUGAUUUGCACUUUGUGUGAAAUGAAAGUACAAAAAAUCUUCAAUAAUGUUCUGUGUGGAUGAAUGCAUGUGUGUAUGUGUAAUUGCAUCCAUUGUAUGUAUGUGUAUGUGUACAUUUUAAAGUCGACUUUAUGUUGUCUGUGUUUGAAUUAGCAUUCACUUUGUGUUGUAUGUGUUUAAAAUAAAUUUGACAUUCACUUUGGUUGCAUGUGUGCUUUAAAUUUGUCAUUCAUUUUUUCUCUAGUCUUGUGUGGAGUAUAUGAAAGAACUUUGAUUUGCACUUUGUGUGAAAUGAAAGUACAAAAAAACUUCAAUAAUGUUCUGUGUGGAUGAAUGCAUGUGUGUACAUGUACAUUUAAAAGUUGACUUUAUGUGUUUGAAUUAACUUUAGCAUUCAUUUUGUGUUGUAUGUGUUUGAAAUAAAUUUGACAUUCACUUUGGGUUGCAUGUGUGCUUUAAAUUUGUCAUGUUUGAAUGAACUCUAUUUGUGGUAUGUUUGUACUUUACCAUGUUUGAUAACAUCAACAUUCACUUUAUGUGUGUGUUUUUGCAUUUUGCGAUGUUUUACCUAGUGUUAAUUUUCUGUUUGAUUGCACUUGGUUUGAAGUAUGUCUGGAAUUGUGUAUGUUUCUAUGUUUGUGAAUUUUGUUUACAUUUAAUUGAUGCAUAUGUAUGUUUUUGAAUAAACAUUAACAUUUAAAUAAAUUUUGAAAUUUAAUUUAUGUAAAAUAUCUAUUUUUGAAUGCGGAGGAUAUUUUUGUUUUCAAACCAACUUAACAUUCAGUUUGUGUGGAUUGUUCAAACAUAUUUUUCCUUUUCCCUUUUAUGUUGUGUAUGCUUAUAUUUUAUAAACAGACGACCUCAUCUAAAUAAUCGACUGUCAUACUAGCUAUUUCUACUGAAGUUGAAAUUAGAACAUUAUGACUGUAAAUUCUUCUAACUUCUGUUUGUAAAU